AGUGAACGCUGGCGGUAGGCCUAACACAUGCAAGUCGAACGGCAGCACAGUAAGAGCUUGCUCUUACGGGUGGCGAGUGGAGGACGGGUGAGGAAUACAUCGGAAUCUACUUUUUCGUGGGGGAUAACGUAGGGAAACUUACGCUAAUACCGCAUACGACCUACGGGUGAAAGCAGGGGAUCUUCGGACCUUGCGCGAUUGAAUGAGCCGAUGUCGGAUUAGCUAGUUGGCGGGGUAAAGGCCCACCAAGGCGACGAUCCGUAGCUGGUCUGAGAGGAUGGUCAGCCACACUGGAACUGAGACACGGUCCAGACUCCUACGGGAGGCAGCAGUGGGGAAUAUUGGACAAUGGGCGCAAGCCUGAUCCAGCCAUACCGCGUGGGUGAAGAAGGCCUUCGGGUUGUAAAGCCCUUUUGUUGGGAAAGAAAAGCAGCAGGUUAAUACCCCGCUGUUCUGACGGUACCCAAAGAAUAAGCACCGGCUAACUUCGUG
rnacentral:rRNA from 1 species